rnacentral:rRNA from 1 species
AACGAACGCUGGCGGCAUGCCUAACACAUGCCAGUCGAACGAGACCUUCGGGUCUAGUGGCGCACGGGUGCGUAACGCGUGGGAACCUGCCCUUAGGUUCGGAAUAACUCCCCGAAAGGGGUGCUAAUACCGGAUAAUGUCUUCGGACCAAAGAUUUAUCACCUUUGGAUGGGCCCGCGUUGGAUUAGCUAGUUGGUAGGGUAAAAGCCUACCAAGGCGACGAUCCAUAGCUGGUCUGAGAGGAUGAUCAGCCACACUGGGACUGAGACACGGCCCAGACUCCUACGGGAGGCAGCAGUGGGGAAUAUUGGACAAUGGGCGAAAGCCUGAUCCAGCAAGGCCGCGUGAGUGAUGAAGGCCUUAGGGUUGUAAAGCUCUUUUACCCGGGAUGAUAAUGACAGUACCGGGAGAAUAAGCUCCGGCUAACUCCGU